UACCACAGCGCGUGUUGUCCGCAGAUAAGGUGCAGUGUUAGUACCAGAGAGUCAGGAGGCAGAUAAACCCUGUGAUAAGUUGUACGAUGACUGCAUAAAACGGUCUGUGGAUGUGACCUAUUUAACACCACCCACCAACGCCGAUGGAAGUUUGCAUUUCCCGGACGACUUUUUCAAUAGAGUCUGUGGAUAUUUCACCAACGCCAGUGUUUGUUAUAAACUAACGACGCCUGAAGAUUGCGAGCCGGAUUUUCCACCCAACAACAUGAUAAAGAAAAUGAACAUUAUAUCCAUCAAAUUGUGCCGAAAUACAGACG